GUGAUUUGAACUGGGUAUCAGUUGUAUUGGUGAUGGCAAUGUCAAGGUCAGUCUGUCUCUCAAGAGUCACUGAGUCAAUUGGAGAACCCAGCGACUGGUGGUGUCUGGAGCCUGCAGAACAGCCUCCCAGCAGACAAAAAAUUGGUGAUAGAGGGAGGAAAAAUAUUUAACCUGUUGUUCAUAUGGACAACCAUUCUGGGACAGAGGAGAGCCUAGCCAGUGCCUUCAACGUCCACAGCUAUCCAUGUGCUUUCUGCUGUACCGCGGUCCUCUUUGUGCCCUACAUAGCCCCAUAGCCUGCUAAGUGGGAGAAGCUUCACGAGGGAGUGCCCACGCAAGCCUGCUGAAGCAACCUCUUUAGCGGGGCCCGGGGCAAUGUACAAUAUUGCUGCUGCUGUGCCACGAGUCUGGAUGUGGCUGACCCAGAGGGCCUUGCAGGAUACGAGAAUUCAGCAGUGGGACGUGCAGUCCCAGGCCUACUUGAUCUUGUCCAUUUGGCACUGCUGGAGGAAUAACAAGUUUCUUCCCGUCAUGCACCAUUCUGGGAUACAUCAUGACAGAGAAAUCUCAAAGCCCAGGUCAAUUAUAACAGAAGAUGUGUAGCACCUCUGCCCCCACAGCAUCUUCUGGGGAUCCACUUGGCAAAAUGAUAUAAAACUAUUUCCGAAGACUUCCCAUGAUCUGGCGCUACUUAGAACUAAGUCACCGGCAAAAUAAAGUGGAGUGGCUUUGGUGGAAAGGAUCAGCUAUGUCUUCUGCGCAGCCCCGCUCCAGACAGUCCACGGUCUGCAGAAGGACGGAGGUCUGCCUUUGAGUUCCCACAGGCAGAAGAGGGAAAAAACUCACAAGUCCUGCCUUUCAGCAAGAGGGUCUGCUAUAAAGCACGACCCAAUAA